rnacentral:rRNA from 1 species
GAUGAACGCUAGCGGCAGGCUUAACACAUGCAAGUCGAGGGGCAGCGCGGGGCAGCAAUGUUCUGGCGGCGACCGGCGGAAGGGUGCGUAACGCGUGAGCGACAUGCCCGUUGCCCGGGGACAACCGGUGGAAACGCCGACUAAUCCCCGAUGGGACGGAGGCCCUCAUGGGUCUCCGUUGAAAGUUACGGCGGCGACGGAUUGGCUCGCGUCCGAUUAGCUUGUUGGCGGGGUAACGGCCCACCAAGGCUACGAUCGGUAGGGGUUCUGAGAGGAAGGUCCCCCACAAUGGAACUGAGACACGGUCCAUACUCCUACGGGAGGCAGCAGUGAGGAAUAUUGGUCAAUGGGCGGAAGCCUGAACCAGCCAUGCCGCGUGCGGGAAGGAGGCCCUAUGGGCUGUGAACCGCUUUUGCCUGGGGGCAAUAAGGGCGUCGUGCACGUCCGAUGAGAGUACCAGGCGAAUAAGCAUCGGCUAACUCCGUGCCAGCAGCCGCGGUAAUACGGGGGAUGCGAGCGUUAUCCGGAUUCAUUGGGUUUAAAGGGUGCGUAGGCUGUGCGUCAAGUCAGGGGUGAAAUUCCGGGGCUCAACUCCGGGGCUGCCCUUGAUACUGUCGCGCUGGAGUGCGGAUGCCGCCGGAGGAAUGAGUGGUGUAGCGGUGAAAUGCUUAGAUAUCACUCAGAACACCGAUUGCGAAGGCAUCUGGCGAAUCCGUAACUGACGCUGAGGCACGAAAGCGUGGGGAUAGAACAGGAUUAGAUACCCUGGUAUUCCACGCCGUAAACGAUGAUGGCUAACCGCCGGCGACACACUGUCGGUGGCCAAACGAAAGCGAUAAGCCAUCCACCUGGGGAGUACGUCGGCAACGAUGCAACUCAAAUGAAUUGACGG